UACAGAGGGUGCAAGCAUUAAUCGGAUUUAUUGGGCGUAAAGGGCGCGUAGGCGGACUGAUAAGUCAGAUGUGAAAAUCCCGGGGCUCAACCCCGGAACAGCAUUUGAAAACUAUCGAUCUAGAGGGUAGGAGGAGAAAAUGGAAUUCCACGUGUAGCGGUGAAAUGCGUAGAGUAUGUGGAAGAACACCGGUGGCGAAGGCGAUUUUCUAUCUUAUACCUGACGCUGAGGCGCGAAAGCAAGAGGAUCAAACAGG
rnacentral:rRNA from 1 species